AGAGCAUGAACUUUCAUAUUGAGUAUUAUUCUUACAAGUUAAAAGAGACUCUGAGUCUGAGGGAUUAGGGACCUAAACCAAAGAGGAAUCUUAUGAUCUGUGAGCAGAAUAAGAUGUGGCAUUUCCUGGAUGAAGACAUCUGAAGAGAGCAUAUGUGAACCUCAAGAGCAGGACUGAUGAUCCCAACAGACAAAUUGCCACAGUAUGCAGCAUUCACUAGAAUGAAAGGUUUAUAGGUGAGAUAUUUAAAGAGGUCACCACGCCCAGAGCAUGUGGGUCUGCAGUGAAAUAGAAGACAGUGCUCAAGAUGAAGGAGCUGUGGUCAUUCAAAAGGGAUAGCAAACCAUGCAGAGAAAUUUUCAAGCAGGUUCUCAUUCUGCAAGUACUUGAAGAUAACAAAGUAUGGCGAGUUUAAAAAGUAUAGCAUAAAGGCACUGUGGAAGAAAGCCCUGUUCACAAAACUGAUAGAAAUGGGCACUGAAAAAUGAACUGUCAUAAUGUGAUAAUUGCUAGGGACAAGCUGCUUCAUUAUAGAGAAGUAUGAUGCACAUAGUUGCGAUUUAGAGACUUUAUUUUAGAAAACAUCAAAAGAGGUAACAGAACAUUACAGCUGGGUAAUUCCCUUGGAAAACAAACACACACAAAAAUAAUAUGUUGCCCAAUUUUGGGAUAGUGUGCAAGCAGCUGAAAACUGCUGAGAUUUGAUGUAGCAGGAAAACAGACUGGACAGCUGUGCUUCAGUACUCUGGAACUCAAUUCAUAUGCAUGUAUAUACAUUUACUAUCUGAAUAAAUUGGCUAUGUUUAAAAUAAAUACUUUCCAGGAAACAUUUACACAAAUAAAAAUUCUAUAUGCGAUUUAAGUGUAUUUUAAGUGUAA
rnacentral:lncRNA from 1 species